rnacentral:lncRNA from 1 species
UUAAGACAACAUGAUGCACAACCUCAAGGGAAAGAGUGCUGUGGGGAGCAUGGCAGAUGCCACAGAUUUAGACUGACAGUCUUGCAAUGGAAUGUUGAUGGGACUGUCCACUGCUUUAGCUAUGACCCUUUUUAAUGGUGUAGAAACAGGAUUGCAGGCAGAUCCCAGGGCCUGUUUGAAGCACAAAAGGACUUAGGGUAAAUCCUUGACUUCACACAGCAGCGGGAGGUGGAAGAUGAUCUCUAGGGUCUCAGUGUUCAUACAUAACAAUCAACUCUGAGAUGCCCCAGGUUGAGGGUUUUGGUCACCUCACUGGCUUCUCUCCCAAGGUGCUUGUCAUUAAUUACAUAACUGCUAGACCAGAAAACAGUUUCCAAUAGUUUCUUGGGGAUGUGGGUAUCUGCAAGGGAACAAGGUUUUGGAUUUACGUUAGCCUCAGUCAUGUCUUCAUCUCAUGGGCUCACAAAGCUGCAAAAAGUGCAACCCAAGGCUAGAGACAUGGCUCAGCGGUAGAACAGUUUCUUCCACGUGUGAAACCCUGGCUCCAAUUCUCAAUACUGCAAAAACAAAGUAAAAUACACAGGAGCUUGAAACUUGACAAAGAAGCUAUUUGAUAUUUGUUCAUAAGUUUUAGAAUUGACCAG